rnacentral:lncRNA from 1 species
CCAGGGGACCAGCAUUCAGCAUACGGAGGAUCCCACCAGCCUCUGAGUUCCCUUAGUAUUUAUUGAUCAUUCUUGGGUGUUUCUCAGAGAGGGGGAUGUGGCAGGGUCAUAGGAUAAUAAUGGAGAGAAGGUCAGCAGAUAAACAGGUGAACAAAGGUCUCUGCAUCAUAGACAAGGUAAAGAAUUAAGUGCUGUGCUUUAGAUAUGCAUACACAUAAACAUCUCAAUGCCUUACAGAGCAGUAUUGUUGCCCACAUGUCCCACCUCCAGCCCUAAGGCGGUUUUCCCCUAUCUCAGUAGAUGGAACAUACAAUUGGGUUUUAUACCGAGACAUUCCAUUGCCCAGGGACAGGCAGGAGACAGAUGCCUUCCUCUUGUCUCAACUGCAAAGAGGCAUGCCUUCCUCUUAUACUAAUCCUCCUCAGCACAGACCCUUUACGGGUGUCGAGCUGCGGGACGGUCAGGUCUUUCCCUUCCCACGAGGCCAUAUUUCAGACUAUCACAUGGGGAGAAACCUUGGACAAUACCUGGCUUUCCUAGGCAGAGGUCCCUGUGGCCUUCUGCAGUGUUUGUAUCCCUGGGUAGUUGAGAUUAGGGCGUGGUGAUGACUCUUAAGGAGCAUGCUGCCUUCAAGCAUCUGUUUAACAAAGCACAUCCUGCACAGCCCUUAAUCCAUUUAACCCUGAGUUGACACAGCAUGUGUUUCAGAGAGCCUGGGGUUGGGGGUAAGGUUAUAGAUUAACAGCAUCUCAAGGCAGAAGAAUUUUUCUUAAUACAGAACAAAAUGGAGUCUCCUAUGUCUGCUUCUUUCUAUACAGACACAGUAACAAUCUGAUCUCUCUUUCUUUUCCCCACAGAAUGAUACUGAAAGCAUCUCAAAAAUAAAAUCACGAGUAUCUGCAGGUAAUGCAUCAGCAUUUUUAUUAAGCCCUCUUAUUUGAAAGUCACUGCUUUGAACUGGAUUGGAUGACCCAGUGGCUUGUGUGGGAGUUGGGCUGGAGAAGGUUGAUAGUAGGCAAGCUGGUUUUCUCCUGCUGUGAUUUUGUUACCUCUGUGGAGUGCUUUUGAUUUUUCUUAUCAACUGCAGUGACUCAGAUGGGUUGACAAUCUCUCCAAACAAAAUGUGUACUUUUUCUACCCGUGAGUUUGGCCUGGUCCCAGAAAUUCACUCUAGACAUGUAGAACUAUAUGAUAAGAGAGUUGGAAAAGAGCUCAUCUAUCUAGUCCAAAACUGUAAUGAAUUCGUGGGUCAUGAAAUCUAUUUAAUGGGUCGUGGCCAACAUUUAGAAAAUAUAGAUUAGACCAGAAAAAUAUCAGAGUUUUGCAAUCUUUCAUUUCAGCUACAUGUGUGUAUCACAGUGUGAAAUGUUUCUUGCUACCAAACAUUUUUGCAAAAUACUAAUAGUUCUAUUCCCAUAUCUGACAAAUGAAAGUAAGGAGCCCAGAAAAGUACUGUUAAGUAUUCUAUUUAGAGACACCCAGGACAUAAAUUCAAAUGUCCAGACUUCUGGUUUAGUUCUUUUUCCAUUUUGGAGAUCUGGAAUGAUACAAUAGAAGGAAUAGUGAAGGACAUAAGUUCAAGUCUGGUGCUUAAAAACUGUAUAAAGUGCAAGUUGCUUACUCCAUACCCUUCAUUAUUCUCAUUUCUAAAAUAAGGUAAAUGAAACUGUCCAUUUCCUUACUAGAUUAUUGGAAGAACUACCAAAUACAGAUAAAGCAAAAAAAUGUCCAAUGAAAAAAUCUGCAAACCUGCUGUGUGUGUGUGUGUGUGUG